CCCUUAGAUGUCCGGGACUGCACGCGCGCUACACUGAAGGAAUCAGCGUGCUAAAACCAUUGUCGAAAGGCAUUGGUAAACCCAUUAAAAUCCUACGUGAUUGGGAUCGGGAAUUGCAAUUAUUUCCCUUGAACGAGGAAUUCCCAGUAAGUGUGGGUCAUAAGCUCGCGUUGAUUACGUCCCUGCCCUUUGUACACACCGCCCGUCGCUGCCCGGGACUGAGCCGUUUCGAGAAAAGCGGGGACUGCUGCUGUCGGGGCUUUCGGGCCUUGGCUUCGGUGGAAACCGCUUUAAUCGCAGUGGCUUGAACCGGGCAAAANUCGUANCA
rnacentral:rRNA from 1 species